rnacentral:rRNA from 1 species
CAGUAGCCGCGGUAAUACAGAGGGUGCGAGCGUUAAUCGGAUUUACUGGGCGUAAAGCGUGCGUAGGCGGCUUCUUAAGUCGGAUGUGAAAUCCCUGAGCUUAACUUAGGAAUUGCAUUCGAUACUGGGAAGCUAGAGUAUGGGAGAGGAUGGUAGAAUUCCAGGUGUAGCGGUGAAAUGCGUAGAGAUCUGGAGGAAUACCGAUGGCGAAGGCAGCCAUCUGGCCUAAUACUGACGCUGACGUACGAAAGCAUGGGGAGCAAACAGGAUUAGAUACCCCGGUAGUCCCUGUCUCUUAUAC